rnacentral:rRNA from 1 species
CUGUAAGCCUGUGAAGGUGUGUCGUGAGGCAUGCUGGAGGUAUCAGAAGUGCGAAUGCUGACAUAAGUAACGAUAAAGCGGGUGAAAAGCCCGCUCGCCGGAAGACCAAGGGUUCCUGUCCAACGUUAAUCGGGGCAGGGUGAGUCGACCCCUAAGGCGAGGCCGAAAGGCGUAGUCGAUGGGAAACGGGUUAAUAUUCCCGUACUUGGUGUUACUGCGAAGGGGGGACGGAGAAGGCUAUGUUGGCCGGGCGACGGUUGUCCCGGUUUAAGCGUGUAGGUGUGUGUUCCAGGUAAAUCCGGUUCACUUUAACACUGAGGCGUGACGACGAGGCACUACGGUGCUGAAGCAACAAAUGCCCUGCUUCCAGGAAAAGCCUCUAAGCAUCAGGUAACAUCAAAUCGUACCCCAAACCGACACAGGUGGUCAGGUAGAGAAUACCAAGGCGCUUGAGAGAACUCGGGUGAAGGAACUAGGCAAAAUGGUGCCGUAACUUCGGGAGAAGGCACGCUGACACGUAGGUGAAGUGAUUUACUCAUGGAGCUGAAGUCAGUCGAAGAUACCAGCUGGCUGCAACUGUUUAUUAAAAACACAGCACUGUGCAAACACGAAAGUGGACGUAUACGGUGUGACGCCUGCCCGGUGCCGGAAGGUUAAUUGAUGGGGUCAGCGCAAGCGAAGCUCCUGAUCGAAGCCCCGGUAAACGGCGGCCGUAACUAUAACGGUCCUAAGGUAGCGAAAUUCCUUGUCGGGUAAGUUCCGACCUGCACGAAUGGCGUAAUGAUGGCCAGGCUGUCUCCACCCGAGACUCAGUGAAAUUGAACUCGCUGUGAAGAUGCAGUGUACCCGCGGCAAGACGGAAAGACCCCGUGAACCUUUACUAUAGCUUGACACUGAACAUUGAGCCUUGAUGUGUAGGAUAGGUGGGAGGCUUUGAAG